AAAAGUACUCAUUAUCUGAUUUAUAUAGCUGUAAUUGCUCUGUACAUCACCUUUAUAAUACCAAUAAAAUUUUUUAAAUAAAAAUAAAAUAAAGUUACAGAGUACUAUACCAAAUAAAACACUUGCUACCAAGGUUAGAAAUUAAUUCCUCAGAAGUUCCACACUGCUCACUUAAGGAGCCAUUUUACAACAGCUUUUCAUGAUCAUUCUUGAAUGUCAAGCCAUUAGCCCACAUUAUGGGUAUAUGAUGGAAUAUCAAAACUUGAGAUUCCAUAGUUGUGUGCAUUCAUAUGAAAAUUUAAGGAAGUUGCCUAUGACAAAGUCCCUUUUGGGUUUUCCCAGUGACACCACAAAGUUGGGGUUAUCUGCCAUAGGGACUCAGCAAUUUAACUGGUUCCUAGGAAAGAAAGCAUGUAACAAGCAUACGUAUUUGCCUUUCUGUACAGAGAAUGACGAACCUCACUUGGACAUUAGCAAAGGAACAGGCCUGCACUCAUGAAGACAAAUGUAAGACAUUACAGGAGGGGGAAAAGAACACAAUUUAUAAGUGAUUCUAAAGAAGGUGUGGCAUGGUAGGAAGGUGGGGGGAAAGCACAAUUUAUAGUGCUCUCCAUUAUCCAA